rnacentral:rRNA from 1 species
AUGAACGCUGGCGGCGUGCCUAAUACAUGCAAGUCGAGCGAACAGACGAGGAGCUUGCUCCUCUGACGUUAGCGGCGGACGGGUGAGUAACACGUGGAUAACCUACCUAUAAGACUGGGAUAACUUCGGGAAACCGGAGCUAAUACCGGAUAAUAUAUUGAACCGCAUGGUUCAAUAGUGAAAGACGGUUUUGCUGUCACUUAUAGAUGGAUCCGCGCCGCAUUAGCUAGUUGGUAAGGUAACGGCUUACCAAGGCAACGAUGCGUAGCCGACCUGAGAGGGUGAUCGGCCACACUGGAACUGAGACACGGUCCAGACUCCUACGGGAGGCAGCAGUAGGGAAUCUUCCGCAAUGGGCGAAAGCCUGACGGAGCAACGCCGCGUGAGUGAUGAAGGUCUUCGGAUCGUAAAACUCUGUUAUUAGGGAAGAACAAAUGUGUAAGUAACUAUGCGCGUCUUGACGGUACCUAAUCAGAAAGCCACGGCUAACUACGUG